rnacentral:lncRNA from 14 species
CCUUCUUCCCGCCAUGCCCGGAUGCAGGGAGGCGGGGUUUCCUCGGGGCUCGGCCAAUGGGGAGGGCGGGCGCGGGCGCGCGCGCGCGGCGGCAGCCAAUGGGCGCGGAGGACGCCGGGGGGGACACGGCCAAGGUGACGCUGCCCACAGAGCCGCCGCCGCCGCCGGCCCGAGCGGACCCCGCGCAGAUCCAGCACAAUGCAGGCUCCCGUGGCUCUCCUCGGCUCCCCAGCGCUGUUCCGCUGCUGCUCCAGGGCUCUGGCCAGGCCCGUGUCCGUGGCUGUGUUCAGCAGGCCUGAGGAGAGCGCGCAGGUGAGGCAGCCUGGCCUUGGGCCUCAUCAUCAUCGUCACCCUUCAUCCUCACCGUUCAUCCCCAUCCUUCAUCCUCACCCUUCAUCCAGCUCCUUCAUCCUCACCCUUCAUCCCCAUCCUGCUUCUUUAUUCUGAUCCUUCAUCCCCAUCCUGCUCCUUCAUCCUCAUCCUUCAUCCUCAUCCUUCAUCCUGCUCCUUCAUCCUCACCCUUCAUCCUCACCCUUCAUCCUCACCCUUCAUCCUCACCCUUCAUCCUCAUCCUUCAUCCCCAUCCUGCUCCUUCAUCCUCAUCCUUCAUCCUGCUCCUUCAUCCCCAUCCUCAUCCCCAUGCUCAUGCUGUUGAUCAGGACCAACGCUCCCCUCCCCUUGCUGGGUUCCAGCCCUGAAGUGUCCCUGGCUGUCCCCUGAGCUGUCCCCAUGUCCCUGGCUGUCCCCUGAUGUGUCCCCAUAUCCCUGGCUGUCACCUGCCCUGUCCCCAUGUCCCUGGCUGUCCCCGUGUCCCUGCCUGUCCCCUGAGCUGUCCCCGUGUCCCUGCCCUGUCCCCGUGUCCCUGCCUGUCCCCUGAGCUGUCCCCGUGUCCCUGCUGUGUCCCCAUGUCCCUGGCUGUCCCCGUGUCCCUGGCUGUCCCCUGACGUGUCCCCGUGUCCCUGCUGUGUCCCCAUGUCCCUGGCUGUCCCCGUGUCCCUGCUGUGUCCGCGUGUCCCCGUGUCCCUGCUGUGUCCCCAUGUCCCUGGCUGUCCCCGUGUCCCUGCUGUGUCCCCAUGUCCCUGGCUGUCCCCGUGUCCCUGGCUGUCCCCUGAUGUGUCCCCGUGUCCCGCAGGUGUCCCUGGCUGUGCAGCCGCAGCCCCAGCGGCAGUUCCGCAGCUCGGCGCUGUCCCUGCCUGUCCCCGUGUCCCUGUCUGUCCCCUGAUGUGUCCCCAUGUCCCUGCCCUGUCCCCGUGUCCCUGCCUGUCCCCUGAGCUGUCCCCGUGUCCCUGCUGUGUCCCCAUGUCCCUGCCUGUCCCCGUGUCCCUGCCUGUCCCCGUGUCCCUGCCUGUCCCCUGCUGUGUCCCCAUGUCCCUGACGUGUGCCCAUGUCCCUGACGUGUCCCCAUGUCCCGCAGGUGUCCUGGCCGCCAGCGCCGGGGACAGACAGACAGGGGACAGGCUGUCGGGGACAGGACGACACGGACGCCAGGGAUUCAGGGGGACGGGGCCGCCACCAGGGGACAGGGACAGGGCUCGGGGGCGGGGAUCAGCACCGUGUUCGGGAGCCUCAUCAUCGGAUACGCCAGGAACCCGUCCCUGAAGCAGCAGCUCUUCUCCUACGCCAUCCUGGGCUUCGCGCUGUCCGAGGCCAUGGGGCUCUUCUGUCUGAUGGUGGCAUUCCUCAUCCUCUUCGCCAUGUGACAUCCCAGGGGACAGCCCCGGCUGCUGCUCCUCCUCUCCUGCCAGUAAACCACGGAUUUCUCUACGGAAUUCCCUGUUCUGGGCCUUUUGUACCUUUAUUUUUCACUUUCCGGGGGAGAUUUGGGGUGGAAAAUCCCAGCAGUGGGGUGGGAAUGGGAAGGGACGAAAAUUAAGGUGGAGUCAACCCAAAUCUGCAGGAAUUCCCCAAAAUCUGGGCCCUGACAAAACAGAGGUUGGGGUUGGGGGCUGGGAUGGAAUUCCCAGAGGAAACCACAGAUUUCUCUAUGGAAUUUGCUGUUUUGGGGUUUUUGCCUUUAUUUUUCACUUUCCGGGGGAGAUUUUGGGUGGAAAAUCCCAGCAGUGGGGUGGGAGUGGGAAGGUGGAGUCAACCCAAAUCUGCAGGAAUUCCCCCCAAAUCUGGGCCCUGACAAAACAGAGGUUGGGGUGGUGGGAUGGAAUUCCCAGAGGAAACCACGGAUUUCUGUACGGAAUUUCCUGUUCUGGGCCUUUUUGACUUUAUUUUUCACUUUCUAGGGGAGAUUUUGGGUGGAAAAUCCCAGCAGUGGGGAGGGGCGAAACGAAAGGUGGAGUCAACCCAAAUCUGCAAAAAAUUCCCCCAAAUCUGGGCCCUGACAAAACAGAGGUUGGGGUUGGGGCUUGGGAUGGAUAUUCCGGGGAAACCAAGGAUUUCUAUGAAUUUGCUUUUUGGCCAAUCCUACCCCAAAUCUCUUUGGAGAUUUUGGGUGGCAAAUCCCCAGAGUGGGAAGGGACGAAACCAAAGGUGGAGUCAACCCA